GAUAGCCAUAAAUCACAAAGGGCUUAACAGUGCCCUCAGUAACUAGCCGUACAUCAUCAAUUCUGCUCCCGUAAAUUCCCCCCCAGAACAUGCCUUUUCCCACCAGCAAUAAAGCUCCUACACCCACAAACACAACACCCUCCCCCAAAAUUAAGCCCAGCUGUUUGGGCUCAUCCCA
rnacentral:ncRNA from 12 species